UUUCUUUUUCUUUUACAUUCAUUAGCCAUCAGAGAUAACAUUUAUCAAGUUUCUACAGGUUUUAAUUCGUUUUGCAAUCACAUAACCCCAGGAAACAGAGACCAUCCCCACUUUACAGAAGAGGGGCUUGGAGACCCAGAGAGGUUUAAAUCACUUUGCUAAGGUCACACAGCUGGAAGUCUGCAGUGGACCCAAGGUGGUCGAACUCCAGGACCGCCUUGACCACUACAUUAAGUGGCUCCGUAUGGCUACAUUUUUUUUCCCACGUUGUUAAAGAGUGACUAAUGCUGCCUGCCAUCUGUUACCAAGUCCGGUGGCUUUUCCUUCAGCUCCCUCCCGGAAUUGCAGCGCUCCGAACGCCCAUCCCCCCGCCAGAAGCACUUCCUGGCUCAAGCUAUGGCACCCACAGCUGCCACUGAGGCACCAACCAUCUCUGGGCUUCUGGGCCCCAGCACUGCAGGUUCCAACGGCGGAGAAUUCCGUAUGGAGGCUCUUCUUUGUCCUCUGUGCUCACCUGCACACUGCGUGGCCAUAGCUCCCAGCGUGCUCCGCCUCAGACCUCUCCUCCUUCAAAACCCCCAUCCCACCUUCUGUCUCACAUCAGAGCCGACUCUGAAGCCGUUGCCUGUGCCUGGAAUGCUCUCACCCCUCUCACGAAUUCUCUCCCUUUUUGGUACACAGACAGCUUCUGAAACUCCUAUUGGUCCGUGGAAUUUUUCUCUGCUGAUACAGGAGCAAGAGCUGUUCUCCACUUUGCCGAUUCAGAGUAGCUCCUGGAGUCCAGCCUGGCUGAGGCUUGGGGUCCACCACUUACUAGCCCUAUAAACUUGGGCAGGUUUCUAAGUCUCAAUACCUCCUCAUUGGCAUGGGAUAUUCAUACCUGCAGUCAAAGGAUUGUUAUGAGAUUUAAAUAACAUAAUCCAUGAAACGCUCCUAGCACAGAGCUGGCACAAAGUACCCCAACACAUAGUUGUAUAUUCUAGUUGUGAGUGCCUCCGAUUGUGCUAUGUGGGACGCUGCCCCAGCAUGACCUGAUGAGCAGUGCCGUGUCCGUGCCCAGGAUCUGAACCCUGAAACGCCAAAGCCGCAUACCCGAACUUAACCACUCCCCCAGAGGGUCGGCCCCUGGUGGUGUUCGUUUUGAUCAUGGAGUACAUUCACAUCUCCUAGAUUUUUCCACUAUAAAAUUACUGUAUUCUCCUUUGUAAUUAAUAAGUAUGUUGUAGGGAGUAAUUUGAGACUGUAAAUAUCCUGUUUUUCAUCAAGCUUUUACCCUUUAAUUUAAACUCCAUUGAUGAUUCUUGCAGAAUCAAUUAUUAUUGUGAUGGUUGCCAAAUGCUUUUUCUUCCUAUGGUCUUUUUUACAAAUUAUUCAAAAUCAUGGUAAAAUACACAUAACAUAAUAUUUACCAUCUUAACCAUUCUUAAGUGUACAGUUCGGUGGUAUUAAAGGUCAUUGAUAUUGUUAUGCAAUCAUCACCACUAUUCAUCUCCAGAACUCUUUUCAUCUUACAAAACCAAAACUCUGUAUCUAUUAAACAAAUAACUCCCCAUUUCCCCCUCCCCCCAGCCCCUGGCAUCCAUUAUUCUACUGUUUGUCUCUAUUAAUUUGACUACUUUAGGUACCUCAUGUGAGUGGAAUCAUAUAGCAUUUGUCCUUCUGUGACUGGCUUAUUUCACUUAGCAUAGUGUCCUCAAGGUUCAUCCAUAUUGUAGCAUGUGUCAGAAUGUCCUUCCUUUUUAAGGCUGAAUAAUACUGUAUGUAUAUACCACAUUUUGCUUAUCCAAUCGUCCUUCAACAAACACUUGGGUUGCUUCCAUGUUUCAGCUAUUGCCAGUAAUGCUACUAUGAACAUGAAUGUGUGAGUAUCUGUUGGAGCCUCUCCUUUCAAUUCUCUUGGAUAUAUACCAAGAAAUGGAAUUGCUGGAUCAUAUGGUAAUUCUAUUUUUUAAUUUUUUGAGGAACCACCAUACUGUUUUCCAUAGCAGCUGCACCAUUUUACAUUCCCAAGGGUUCCAAUUUCUCCACAUCCUCACCAACAGCUGUUAUUUUCUGUUUUGUUUUUAUGUUUUUUUAAGAGUAGCUAUCCUCAUGGCUGUGAGGUGGUGUCUCCUUGUGGUUUUGAUUUGCACUUCCCUGUUGAUUAGCGAUCUUGAGCAUCUUUUUAUGUGCUUAUUGGGCCUUUGUAUAUCUUCUUUGGCAAACUGCCUAUUCAAGUUGUUUGCACAUUUUGAAUUGGGUUGCUUGGGUUUUUUGUUGUUGGUAGUCUUUUUUUUAAAGUUCUUUAUUAUGAAAAAUUUCGAAACUUGAGAAAAUUUGUUAGAGAGUGCAUCCACAGGCACCAUUUGUUAACAUUUUGCCACAUUUGCUUUAUCUCUUUCAAUCUCUCUUUGUAUAUUAUUGUUAUUGUUAUUUGCAUAACCAUUUGCGAGUAAAUUACAGGUAUCAUGACCUUUCAGGCCUACACAGUUGAGCAUCUCUCUCCUAAAAACAAAGUACUAUAAUGACAGUUAGGAAAUUUAACACUGACAAAAUUCCCUUGUCUAAAUAUACAAUUCAUAUUCAAAUUUUACCAAUUGUCCCAAUAACGUUCUUUGUAGUAAAUUUUUUUUAUGAUCCAGGACCUAAUCCAAGAUCAUGCAUUGUAUUCAGUUAUCCUGUCUGUUUAGUCUUCUUUUAUCUGGAAUAGGGCCUCAGCCUUUCUUUGUCUUGCAUGUUAUUGGCAUUUGCUAAAAGAACAGGGCAAUAGCUUCAUGGACUGUCUCUCAAGUUAGGUUUUUCUGAUUGUUUUCUCAUGAUUAGAGUAAGGCUGUGCAAUCUGGCAGGAAUACAGUGGAACUGACAUGGUGUCCUUCUCUGUGCAAUACAUCAUGAGGCACAUGAUGUCAUUUUUGUCCCAUUAUUGGUGAUGUUAACUUUGAUCAGUUGACUAAGGUGGUGUCUGCCAGAUUUCUCCACUUAAUUUUUUUAGAAAGUAAAAUUACUUAGUAAUGUUUCCCUAAGCACCAGAAUUAUUACUAUUAUUAUUAACAAAGACUUAUUAUCUUUCACGUUUUCAGAAUUUGUAAAGCAUCUGCAUAUAUUUUCAAUUCCAU
ensembl:lncRNA